GUACCCGGGACUACCAGCAGGCACAGAAAAUCGUCAUUGAUGACGCUGCUUAUGUGUACCUGUUCCAGAAAAACUACCAACUGGCGAUGAACAAAGAGGUGAAAGGCUUUGUGUUCAAUCCCAUGCUGGAACAGGUCU
rnacentral:misc_RNA from 1 species